rnacentral:SRP_RNA from 1 species
GCCGGGCGCGGUGGCGGGCGCCUGUAGUCCCAGCUACUCAGGAGGCUGAGGCAGGAGAAUGGCGUGGAUCCGGGAGGCGGAGCUUGCAGUGAGCCGAGAUCGUGCCACUGCACUCCAGCCUGGGCGACAGAGCGAGACUCCGUCUCAAAAAGAAAAAAAAAAGAAUGGUUGCAUGGGAUUGCAACUCUUUCUUUUUUUUUAAAGGCUUGAGACGGAGUUUCGCUCUUGUUGCCCAGACUGGAGUGCAGUGGCAUGAUCUCGGCUCACUGCAACCUCUGCCUUCCAGGUUCAAGUGAUUCUCCUGCCUCAG